rnacentral:rRNA from 1 species
CGGCAGAAGGAGCCCCAAGCCGUGCACUGAAUAACACACUUGGCAAGCGAAAGAGGGAAGAGCGAACCCUUAGGCCUUCGAUAAGAUCUCUUUAGCCCUUACGGGACGAGCAGCCGGGGCGUCAGAGCGAGGCGGGGGCCGCUGGAGGAGGGGGGGUAGGUGGGUUCCGUCGCUCUAACGAUGGGGCCGGGGUUCACUUCUAGGUAGGCCCGCAUCAAGGAAGAAAAGAACGUUACCUAUAUCUACUACACUAAACGUUGAACGCACAACAACCACACGGUUGGUUCUCACGAUAUAUGUGUACCCCUAUAUUGGUCUCACCGGUCUGACGUGCGUUCCCGUUCCUCGCGGUGGACUCCUAGGGGUUCUCGGAUGGAGGGUUUGAUAAGUGGACAUCCCUACCGCUCUUGGAGUCUACCUAGGUAUAACGUACACCGGCACGAGUGUGACGACGUCAGCAAAGACUGCCUAGUGAGAAGUGGACCCCAAGUUUACUGAAACCGGUCAACCCUCUACCCUGUCUCCUCUCACGUUUCCUUGGAUUUUUUCAGUUACGUGACCGUUGACUCAAACACUUUAGCCACAGGACACCGCGUGUGACAUGUCGACGAUAACGACUUGGAGCUCUUUUACUACCGUGUUAUAGCUCUUCGUCCAAUACCCAAACCCCUGUUUUAGUCCCGAGUCUAAUGGGAGCGGAUAUGACCCCACGAAAACGUGGUUUGUGCCAUUAAGCCGUCCAAAGAACACCUCGACAAGUACACCACCGGGAUAGCCUACUACCGGACGACGUUCGUACCCCGAUGUUACUCAUACCAGUCGAACCGUCUCCAACAUGAAGACUUCCUCACGUCCCUCGAGCACAUAAUUUACGAAUACGUUCCAAGGAACUACUGUGUGGACUCGAUCACUUCUAACAAUCUCAUAGUACACCUCUCAUGGUACGUCGUCGAUAUAGUCUUUUGCCCCUCCACAUAUGUACCCCUGAACCUUCGGACCCCGUCGAACCCGUAGCGAGCGAAGUCAGACCUCUAUUCCUCGAUUAGGGUUCCGCUCAACAACGGGAAUUCCUUAUCAUUGAUCCCUACACAGAACACCACCCCAAGUGAGAACACGACAUUGCCUUCCACCUCGGGAGAUGCCAACCCCGCCUCCUGUACAUCCGGUCGACCCCGAACCUGGAGUCUUGCCAAAGAAAAGGACGCGAGAAUUACCUAGGCUGUACGAUGAAGCAUUGUAAGGUCAGGACCAGUAUGGCAGUCCACAGGCCGAACAAUGAACACCAGUGAGCGUGUGUGAACAUAGAUACUUUCUACCGGCAUAUAUACCUACCCCGAUAUUAUCAAUACCAGUCCGUCGAUUACUCUUUAGAUGAAUACGAACCAUGGGAAGAGGCCAACUAACCACACAACCUCUCCACUCUUCUGAACGACGUCCACCGCCCGUAAGUCGACACAAUUGACUACGUAGCAGGAAUUUUCUUGAUACGCUCAAAUUCGAUCGUCUCUGACAUUUAUCCAGCUUGCGAGCCGAUUAUCUUCUACAACGUAGUGCUUGGCCCCGACUACGUAACCGUGCGGACACACUCUUUAAUUCCCUUGUAAACCAACUCGUGCCUCUGAGACUUGAACACCUUUACGUGUACCAACUUCUCUAACUCCGGUUUCGGCCAAUCUGAGCAUCGCUUAGCUACACCGGGACCAAGGUAAAGCGGUAUGUGUAACUAAGUUCGUAAUCGCGACAACAUAAUAUAGUGGCCUUCAUCGUUAACAAAAGAUGAACGGACUUUGGAGUAACCACCAGAGGGUUCACACAUUGUCUCCUCACCUCCGAGACACACAUAGUACUUGAAGGUACAGAUUUGUAUAUUCAACCCUUGAUGUACUUUAAUAUGGACGUUUGAUCUUCCAGCCACUUAAGCUAUUCGGCGUGUUGAACACGAAAUAUAACAAGUUUACAAC